ACCUCACGGAUCCACCCCGCGGCCCCUCGGAUGACCAGGUGCCCGGGGAACUGGUGCCUUCAUCGGCUGAAUCUCAUCCAGCUGACCAGCCAGGAAUUUGAUUGCGUGUAUGAAAUCAUCUGAUGCCAGGAACACUUUUCACGCCGGGCCUGUUUCGUGUCUAAAAGGCGGCCAUCGAGCCGGAGGAGGAGAGGUACUCACCGGGAGGAUCCUCCGGGAGUCACGAGACAUUUCUUCAAGUUUAAAAAACCCGGAGCUCCAUCAACACGACGCAGCUUCAGCCCGGGAGGCGCCCGACGACCAGCGGCGUAAGCCCCGGCCACUUCCCCUGCUUGUCUCCACCGUGAGGCGGCUCUCGCUCGGUGCUCCCGGGGCUCGGAGCCGCUCUCCGGUUCGUAUCCUGCCCGUCAAAGACGCGUUUGUCUCGGGGAAAGUCGGUGUUUUGCGGCCGAUGUGAAACUGGAGCGCUGGAAACCAAAGUGCCACUGUUGGGGGUUAACAACUUUACUGUGAAACACGGCUUGUGAUUGGCCAGCGGCGGCUACCAAUCACCUGUGGAGAGCCCCCCCUCUCUCCCAGGGCACGUGACGUCUCUAUCAGCCCCUGUGAUUGGCUGAGGGUUUCUACACUCUAAUGAGAUUCAUGCACAUCAAGGAGGAGGCGGCUGUGGCUGAGGGGUAGAUGGUCGGCGGCUCGAAUCCCAGCUCCUGUGGAAGUGCCCUUGGGCAAGAUGCAGAACCCAGAGUGGCACCUCCAAGAUGUUGAAUGCAUGGAUUGGAAGUUGCUUUGAAUGACAUGUUCUGUAAUGUCAAUAACAGGCCUCUAAACACAACAAUACACAAAACAGUAACUGCACAACAACUUAAUGUCAGGACAAAUUGUUUUGAAUGUUUAUUCAAUAAAUAAUUUUCAGAAAUACAGAGUUGCAAAUGUGAUUGUGUGGUAGAAACUAUAAAAAGGCACUUAAAAACAAUGGUGACUGGUGUAACCUUUUUUUUUUGUCUUUACAAAAACAAAGAUCGGGGGAUCAAAGAUCUUUAACACUGUGACUUUUUUUAUCCAUUCCUAUUUCUGUUCAAUAAAAAAUUGUUUGAUCGAGGCACCGACAAAUGGCCGAGUGGAACUACUCACAUGUUAAAAAAAAAGAGAAA